GAUGAACGCUGGCGGCGUGCCUAAUACAUGCAAGUCGAGCGAACGGACGAGAAGCUUGCUUUUCUGAUGUUAGCGGCGGACGGGUGAGUAACACGUGGAUAACCUACCUAUAAGACUGGGAUAACUUCGGGAAACCGGAGCUAAUACCGGAUAAUAUUUUGAACCGCAUGGUUCAAAAGUGAAAGACGGUCUUGCUGUCACUUAUAGAUGGAUCCGCGCUGCAUUAGCUAGUUGGUAAGGUAACGGCUUACCAAGGCAACGAUGCAUAGCCGACCUGAGAGGGUGAUCGGCCACACUGGAACUGAGACACGGUCCAGACUCCUACGGGAGGCAGCAGUAGGGAAUCUUCCGCAAUGGGCGAAAGCCUGACGGAGCAACGCCGCGUGAGUGAUGAAGGUCUUCGGAUCGUAAAACUCUGUUAUUAGGGAAGAACAUAUGUGUAAGUAACUGUGCACAUCUUGACGGUACCUAAUCAGAAAGCCACGGCUAACUACGUGCCAGCAGCCGCGGUAAUACGUAGGUGGCAAGCGUUAUCCGGAAUUAUUGGGCGUAAAGCGCGCGUAGCGGUUUUUUAGUCUGAUGUGAAAGCCCACGGCUCAACCGUGGAGGGUCAUUGGAAACUGGAAAACUUGAGUGCAGAAGAGGAAAGUGGAAUUCCAUGUGUAGCGGUGAAAUGCGCAGAGAUAUGGAGGAACACCAGUGGCGAAGGCGACUUUCUGGUCUGUAACUGACGCUGAUGUGCGAAAGCGUGGGGAUCAAACAGGAUUAGAUACCCUGGUAGUCCACGCCGUAAACGAUGAGUGCUAAGUGUUAGGGGGUUUCCGCCCCUUAGUGCUGCAGCUAACGCAUUAAGCACUCCGCCUGGGGAGUACGACCGCAAGGUUGAAACUCAAAGGAAUUGACGGGGACCCGCACAAGCGGUGGAGCAUGUGGUUUAAUUCGAAGCAACGCGAAGAACCUUACCAAAUCUUGACAUCCUUUGACAACUCUAGAGAUAGAGCCUUCCCCUUCGGGGGACAAAGUGACAGGUGGUGCAUGGUUGUCGUCAGCUCGUGUCGUGAGAUGUUGGGUUAAGUCCCGCAACGAGCGCAACCCUUAAGCUUAGUUGCCAUCAUUAAGUUGGGCACUCUAAGUUGACUGCCGGUGACAAACCGGAGGAAGGUGGGGAUGACGUCAAAUCAUCAUGCCCCUUAUGAUUUGGGCUACACACGUGCUACAAUGGGCAAUACAAAGGGCAGCGAAACCGCGAGGUCAAGCAAAUCCCAUAAAGUUGUUCUCAGUUCGGAUUGUAGUCUGCAACUCGACUACAUGAAGCUGGAAUCGCUAGUAAUCGUAGAUCAGCAUGCUACGGUGAAUACGUUCCCGGGUCU
rnacentral:rRNA from 1 species